AUGAACGCUGGCGGCGUGCCUAAUCCAUGCAAGUCGAGCGAACGGACGAGAAGCUUGCUUUUCUGAUGUUAGCGGCGGACGGGUGAGUAACACGUGGAUAACCUACCUAUAAGACUGGGAUAACUUCGGGAAACCGGAGCUAAUACCGGAUAAUAUUUUGAACCGCAUGGUUCAAAAGUGAAAGACGGUCUUGCUGUCACUUAUAGCUGGAUCCGCGCUGCAUUAGCUAGUUGGUAAGGUAACGGCUUACCAAGGCAACGAUGCAUAGCCGACCUGAGAGGGUGAUCGGCCACACUGGAACUGAGACACGGUCCAGACUCCUACGGGAGGCAGCAGUAGGGAAUCUUCCGCAAUGGGCGAAAGCCUGACGGAGCAACGCCGCGUGAGUGGUGAAGGUCUUCGGAUCGUAAAACUCUGUUAUUAGGGAAGAACAUAUGUGUAAGUAACUGUGCACAUCUUGACGGUACCUAAUCAGAAAGCCACGGCUAACUACGUG
rnacentral:rRNA from 1 species